rnacentral:rRNA from 1 species
GAUGAACGCUAGCGGCAGGCUUAAUACAUGCAAGUCGAGGGGCAGCACAGAUAGCAAUAUUGGGUGGCGACCGGCAAACGGGUGCGGAACACGUACACAACCUUCCUUUUAGUGUGGGAUAGCCCAGAGAAAUUUGGAUUAAUACCACAUAGUAUAUUGGAGUGGCAUCACUUUGAUAUUAAAGAUUUAUCGCUAAAAGAUGGGUGUGCGUAUGAUUAGGUAGUUGGUAGAGGUAACGGCUCACCAAGCCUUCGAUCAUUAACUGGUGUGAGAGCACGACCAGUCACACGGGCACUGAGACACGGGCCCGACUCCUACGGGAGGCAGCAUUAAGGAAUAUUGGUUAAUGGACGGAAGCCUGAACCAGCCAUGCCGCGUGAAGGAUGACGGCCCUCUGGGUUGUAAACUUCUUUUAUGUGGGACGAAAAAGGGCCAUUUUUGGUCAACUGACGGUACCAUAGGAAUAAGCACCGGCUAACUCCGUGCCAGCCGCCGCCGUAA